CACAUUAACAAAGUUAAACUACCUGAAGAAAAGGUAAUCUUUGCUACAGUGGAUGUCAACAGUUUAUAAACGGCUAUUCCUCACAACACAGGCCUGGACUCCAUGCACACCAUACUACUGGAUAGCCAUCAAUACAAAGGACCACCUAUAGAAUUCAUAUAGGAAUGUCUUGAUUUCACUUUAAGCAAUAAUUACUUUAAUUUUGAAAAUAAGUUUUGUAUCCAACAAACCGGCACAGCCAUGGGAUCGG